rnacentral:rRNA from 1 species
UAGGGAAUCUUCGGCAAUGGGGGGAACCCUGACCGAGCAACGCCGCGUGGGUGAAGAAGGUUUUCGGAUCGUAAAGCUCUGUUGUUAAGGAAGAACGAGUGUGAGAAUGGAAAGUUCAUGCUGUGACGGUACUUAACCAGAAAGGGACGGCUAACUACGUGCCAGCAGCCGCGGUAAUACGUAGGUCACGAGCGUUGUCCGGAUUUAUUGGGCGUAAAGCGAGCGCAGGCGGUUAGAUAAGUCUGAAGUUAAAGGCAGUGGCUCAACCAUUGUAGGCUUUGGAAACUGGUUAACUUGAGUGCAGAAGGGGAGAGUGGAAUUCCAUGUGUAACGGUGAAAUGCGUUGAUAUAUGGAGGAACAACGGUGGCGAAAGCGGCUCUCUGGUCUGUAACUGACGCGGAGGCUCGAAAGCGUGGGGAGCGAACAGG